GGUGCUUGCACCGAGAUUCAACAUGGAACGAGUGGCGGACGGGUGAGUAACACGUGGGUAACCUGCCCUUAAGUGGGGGAUAACAUUUGGAAACAGAUGCUAAUACCGCAUAGAUCCAAGAACCGCAUGGUUCUUGGCUGAAAGAUGGCGUAAGCUAUCGCUUUUGGAUGGACCCGCGGCGUAUUAGCUAGUUGGUGAGGUAAUGGCUCACCAAGGCGAUGAUACGUAGCCGAACUGAGAGGUUGAUCGGCCACAUUGGGACUGAGACACGGCCCAAACUCCUACGGGAGGCAGCAGUAGGGAAUCUUCCACAAUGGACGCAAGUCUGAUGGAGCAACGCCGCGUGAGUGAAGAAGGCUUUCGGGUCGUAAAACUCUGUUGUUGGAGAAGAAUGGUCGGCAGAGUAACUGUUGUCGGCGUGACGGUAUCCAACCAGAAAGCCACGUUUAACUACGUGCCAGCAGCCGCGGUAAUACGUAGUGGCAAGCGUUAUCCGGAUUUAUUGGGCGUAAAGCGAGCGCAGGCGGUUUUUUAAGUCUGAUGUGAAAGCCCUCGGCUUAACCCGAGGAAGCGCAUCGGAAACUGGGAAACUUGAGUGCAGAAGAGGACAGUGGAACUCCAUGUGUAGCGUGAAAUGCGUAGAUAUAUGGAAGACACCAGUGCGAAGGCGGCUGUCUGGUCUGUAACUGA
rnacentral:rRNA from 2 species